rnacentral:rRNA from 1 species
UACGUAGGGCGCAAGCGUUGUCCGGAAUUAUUGGGCGUAAAGCGCUCGUAGGCGGCUUGUCACGUCGGAUGUGAAAGCCCGAGGCUUAACCUCGGGUCUGCAUUCGAUACGGGCUAGCUAGAGUGUGGUAGGGGAGAUCGGAAUUCCUGGUGUAGCGGUGAAAUGCGCAGAUAUCAGGAGGAACACCGGUGGCGAAGGCGGAUCUCUGGGCCAUUACUGACGCUGAGGAGCGAAAGCGUGGGGAGCGAACAGG